CGUAGGGGGCAAGCGUUGUCCGGAUUUAUUGGGCGUAAAGCGCUCGCAGGUGGUUCGUUGCGUCGUGCGUGAAAGACCCCGGCUCAACUGGGGAGGGUCGUGCGAUACGGGCGAACUGGAGGCCAGUAGGGGGAUGCGGAAUUCCGGGUGUAGUGGUGGAAUGCGUAGAGAUCCGGAGGAACACCAGCGGCGAAGGCGGCAUCCUGGACUGGUCCUGACACUCAUGAGCGAAAGCGUGGGGAGCGAUCCCGGAUUAGAUACCCGGGUAGUCCACGCUGUAAACGAUGCGCACUAGGUGUCGGGGGGUAUCGACCCCCUCGGUGCCGCAGCUAACGCGAUAAGUGCGCCGCCUGGGGACUACGGCCGCAAGGCUA
rnacentral:rRNA from 1 species